ACCGGCGAACGGGUGCGUAACGCGUAUAGAAUCUGCCUCUUACUAAGGGAUAGCCCAGAGAAAUUUGGAUUAAUAUCUUAUAGUAUGUUGACUUGGCAUCAAGACAACAUUAAAGGUUACGGUAAGAGAUGACUAUGCGUCCUAUUAGCUAGAUGGUGUGGUAACGGCACACCAUGGCGACGAUAGGUAGGGGCCCUGAGAGGGGGAUCCCCCACACUGGUACUGAGACACGGACCAGACUCCUACGGGAGGCAGCAGUGAGGAAUAUUGGACAAUGGAGGCAACUCUGAUCCAGCCAUGCCGCGUGCAGGAAGACUGCCCUAUGGGUUGUAAACUGCUUUUAUACAGGAAGAAACACUGCUACGUGUAGCAGCUUGACGGUACUGUAAGAAUAAGGAUCGGCUAACUCCGUGCCAGCAGCCGCGGUAAUACGGAGGAUCCAAGCGUUAUCCGGAAUCAUUGGGUUUAAAGGGUCCGUAGGUGGAUAAUUAAGUCAGAGGUGAAAUCCUGCAGCUCAACUGUAGAAUUGCCUUUGAUACUGGUUAUCUUGAGUUAUUAUGAAGUAGUUAGAAUAUGUAGUGUAGCGGUGAAAUGCAUAGAUAUUACAUAGAAUACCAAUUGCGAAGGCAGAUUACUAAUAAUAUACUGACACUGAUGGACGAAAGCGUGGGGAGCGAACAGGAUUAGAUACCCUGGUAGUCCACGCCGUAAACGAUGGUCACUAGCUGUUCGGACUUCGGUUUGA
rnacentral:rRNA from 1 species